UGUGAGAAACACAGAGGGAAAUGCUAAUGGAGAAAUGAAUAUUCAACACUACCUCAUCGCUCGCUCUUAUUUCCCCCAUAUCAGGAACUGAACGCAUUUUGAAACGACAUUAUUGGUGUCAAAUUGAAGUUUAACCUUCAGCUGGAAAUGUUUAAUACCGAUGAUCAGCGGGGCUUGACUUUUGUCAUCUCACUUCCUCAUGUAAUGUCAUCUGCUCUAUUAAAAUGUUAAAUGUAGAAAUGAUCACAUGUCCAGAAUCGAACGGCAUCACAGCUGAGAGCUCUUUGAUAUAUCAUUUGUUUCAGGAAUGAAAUGGAAAGCAAAUUAAGACUUUGGAGGUCUUCAAAGACCAAAUGAUCUAUGCUGUCCACGUAAGGUUUUAGCUCUGUGCUCAUGUCAACAAUUGUCACAUUUGUGUUUAGUUUUAUUUCUUGAGAAAUAAACAAUGUUGAGAAAUGCAUUAAGUUGUAUGUAACCCCGAGCAAGAUGAGUUUGCUCUGGGCAGUUUUAGAUCUUCAUGAAUGUUUCAGAAAUGGUUUUUGAGGGUUGCUCAAUCCCACCAUCCGACUUCUGAGAGAUGAAGGCAUGAAGAUGAGAAGCAGAGAGCUGGCAGAAGAGGCACAACACUUGUGUGGAGAGUCCAGCGGAUGCUCUUCGGGAGGUUUUGAUGGCCCAUCUGAAUCCCUCACUGAUCUCAGCACAGACCCAAACCCUGGAGAAGAGCUCGGUCCAACGCUGCCGUCCACAUUCCUCCAGCAGAAUUCCUCCAAAUGUUUUUAAUGGUCGGUAAUCUUCUGAAGCUGUCUAUUAAUACCUGCACAGCAGCGUCUGGCCCUAGUGCGGGCACGGCGGGUGUCCUCCACACAAUAGCACCCAUCUGAUGACUGUCUGAUGGAUGAGUCCAGCUCAGUGCUGGUCAGUGAAACCCAAUCCAUCAGAGCCUGUCAACCGCCAAGCCUUUCCACGGAGCUACAGGUCAAGAGAUGUGUCAGGAGCCUCCUACGGCCAGUGAUCCUGCUGCACGCUGAAAAUCACAUUACAUUUAGUGCUGCUUUAGAAAAACAAGUGUUUGUUCUACAGAUUAUGCAUGUUUGUUUCUGUUGCAUUGAUUUCAAAUGAGUGGUUCAAGAGGUGAACGUCAGUCUACUUGAAUGCGUCAAACUCUCCAAAAGUGAGCAAUAAAAUCUAC